rnacentral:lncRNA from 1 species
UUAUGUUACUUCCCACUUCCUAGUCUUCCCCUAACCCUUAUUACCUUCCUUAGAAAUCAGAAAUUAGGGUUCCUCCUCUAGUCCUAUGUGCGACUGUUGCAGAGUUGCCGACGCCUGACUGUUGUCUGUUGUGAACCUGUAACGCCUUCUUCCUUAACUCGUCGCUCAUCCUUCUUCCUCAGGUUAGUGGUUACCUCCUUUUUCUGAGUUCCUUUUCAGUUUUCUCUCGUCGCUCAUUCGAUUUUAGUGUAAAUCUUGUACCUUUUGGUGUACCACUUUUAUACAGGAGUUCCCUCCCCAUCAUCAAUUAAAUUAUUUUUGCUAUUUGAUGUAAAAUUUGGUUAUGUCCUUCAAAUAGCAAAUGAAUUCAAGAAUUGUUUGGUAUCAAAAGGGGCCUCAUCACCUUAGCCCAGUGAAUUAACACUUAUUUAUUUAAUUUAUAUAUGUUGGACUUAUAUAAUUAAUUUAAUUAUAAUAACUCAUAAUAUUUAUUUGGAUUAGUUAAAAUAUAAUUCAAGUUAUUUAUUGAAUUUGAAUCCAAUAAAUUAUACAUGCCUACAAAUGCCCCUUACUUCAAGACUUAUAUUGGUGUGAACUUGUGAAAUAUCCAACACCAGACUUGAAAUACGUAACAACAGAUACACAUUCAUAAGCAUUUGUCACCAACUGAACAAAUUGGAAUUUCACCUUUCUUGAAUUGGGAAAGGAUUGCACGUGGUUGAUUGGCUUGUAAGGACACAACUUUCCGUUCCAUCUAAGCUUGCGAACUUCCUUUAGUACAAUUGUAUUUUUUUUUCUUUUAAAUUGGCAUCCUUAUGUUAUGUCUAUUGGCAUGCAAUUUCACCAGUAGUUUUAAUUGUGACGCCACGUACCCCAUCUUGCUUUAAUCUCUUUCUUGUGUCGUUUGAGCUCUAAAUUAACUUAGCUGAAUAGUUUGACAAAUAGACAAACAAUUCUGCUUUACUACAUGCCGCCAGUUAGAAAAGAUAAAACAUGUAAUUUGCCUUAUUCUACUUCAAAGAGGACUCUCUAACCGACCUUUGAAUUACACCAAUUUGGAUAUCGAUUUCUCCAUGCACAACCGACAUUCACUACCUAUUCCAAUUAGGAGACUAAUUGUUGCAACUUGUCCCACAUCGACAAUAUUUCUCAAUAGCUUCCCUUCAACAUCUAUUUAAAUAGCCUCUUGCUCUCCAAUUAUAAGCAUCAAUUCGGAACAAGGCAAGAUUAAGGGGCAGCAGUAUCCAUGUAGUGUCUUCUCCCCUUUUUGUGUGUAAUUUUUACUAUGUUAUCCUCUUUCUUUUCUGUUUAGGCAACGGAAGUAACUUCGUCAAACUACCACGUACUUUAAAAGUUCGCGAUAAAUACCUUUAAAACUUGAGGCAAAGAUCUGUAAGACCUAUAAGACCUGUAAAAUUUCACGCAAAGAUCCUUAAAAGCUUGUGGUCAAGAUCUUUAAAAGUACAUAGUGAAAACCUUUAAAAGUUCGCGGUGAGAACUUUUAAAAUUUGUGGCGAAUACCCAUAAAAGUUCGCGCAAACAUUCUUAAAAGCUCAUGGUCGAGAUCUUUAAAAGUUCACGGUGAAGACCUUUAACAUUUUGCGGUGAAGACCUUUAAAAUUUGCGGUGAAGCCCAUAAAAGUCUGCGAUAAAGACCUUUAAAAUUUGUGGCGAAGACUAAUAAAAGUUCUUGAAAAGAUCCUUAAAAGCCCAUGGUCAAGAUCUUUAAAAGUUAAUAAUGAAGUCUUGUAAUGAUCCGACCGGUCGUUUUGAGCUCUAGCGCGUCAUUCGGCGAUUUGAGGCCUUGAGUAGCUUCAUUUCGGGUAUUAUGACUUGUACGUGUGGUCGAAAUUGAAAUUUGGGAAGUUCGAAGUUGAUUUGGAAGAAAAUUCUAAUUUCAGAAGCUUUAAGUUGGAGGAAUUUGCUAAGGGUUAUUUUUUUGAGUAAACGGCCUCGAAAUCGGAAUUUGAAGAUUCCAACAGGUUCGUAUGACGGUUAACGGUUUAUUGAGUUAUCCCCAGUGAGCAGGUUAAUGGUUGCGUGGUGUUGACGAAUCUUCUAUGAAGAAUUCUACUGGCUACCGGCAAGGGAUCGAAUAUGUGAAUGUGGCUAGUGAUUCAGAGUGCUCAUGAAAUGUUUAACAGAAAGGUUACUAGAAAUUUGGCAGGUUGGUUGUGCAAGAUUAUGUCAAUGGGGAAUAAGGGGUAUUGGUGGGUUCCAGGGUUAUGCAAUGAUAGCUUCAAGCUAAGUGGGAGAGCCCCACCGCCUACGAUUGGAUUGCAUGGUUGUCUACUUGGGAGGUUUCUGAUUAUCGGCAUAUUGGUGGGUUAUUACGGCUAAGGAAAGAGAACAUAAGUGGUGAUUUGAGCAAAGAAUUUGAGGAAUUGUGUGCUAUAAUUGGCAUUAUCGAUUCAUGUUCAGGAUUUGGAAAAAAAACUCAGGAUUUAUGCUUCACGUAGAUGUGAUAUACAAGGAAAGUGAGUUAGUCGGGCGCUUCUUUGAGAGGGCGUUCAUGUGCUAGCAGAGCUUUGGAGUUGAUUAUAUUCGGGAUCAAGUCAGAGUGGGUGUAUCUCAACAACGGUCCUAGUGGAUUUAAAGUUUAAAGUACGGUGCCUAAGGAUUUCGAGUCCGUAAUAUGGUUAAGCAUCGAGCUGUCGUACUGGAGUAUGAAAGAGACUUGGAAUGUUCUAUGUUAUCAUUGGGGAUGCGGUGCAGUAUCGGAGGAAGGGAAGAAACAACUUCGGAUUCAUAGUGAAAUUAUCAGAAUGGGUGUACCAAUUGAAGAUGCGAAUAUGCGCACAUGGAGGGUAUGCGUUGGUUUGUGGGUUUUGAGACAACGUGAUCUUGUGAAAUUGGGUCACUAAGGGAGAGUGCGGGAUUUGGUUCGUUACGUUUGAAUGGAUCUAGUAUUAUUAUUAUUAUUUCUAAGGCAAAUAGAGAAUAAAUUGGAAGAAGCGGGGUCGGUCGGUAAUGGUUGAAUUGGCAUGAUGGUGGCAAUGAUCGGUUCCUUCAGCGUAUUAAGUUAUACAUGUUCUUUGUGGUGGUACGUGUAAGGCAAGACGACCGCCGUAAUUGAUUUUUUUUUAUUUGGAUGCAUUCGAGUAUUAUGGGUCCCGAAAGAGUUAUGGUGGUAUAGACUACUACUUGAGGUUUAUAUUUUCUGCGGUUAUGGGAAUUCAGACACGUGUUGCAAUGGUUCUCCUGGAAUAAGUAAAGUGAAAGGUUUCUAUAUGAUGAAGUGUGUAUCCUAUUAGUCGAGCAGGACUUAUGAUGAAAGUUUUGGGCUUUCGCAUGUUGGUAAGAUAGGUGCGGUGAGCGACAUGAAAUUUGAAAGUUGAGGAUCAAAGUUGCAGUUCGGUGUUGACAUGGAUGUCACGAGAUCGGAUGAGCAGGGAAGGAUUCAUAUGUUUAGAGUAAGCUGGUAUCGUCUUUAGCGCCACCUGAGAUCGGUGUCCUAUAUGAGAGGCUUUGUGUACUGAUUUGCGGAUUUUUGAUUUGCUCUACAUCAUUAGUAUGGCCGGUGGUAUGGGUGUGCAGACUUGUUACCUAGUGCGGAAGGUCGGGGGAGCAUACCCCGCGGAAGGAUUGUAUAAGUGUGGCAUGUAGUCACUUGAUUGAUUAAAGAUUGAAACCAAGUAUGGAGAUUAUGGUCCUAUCGCUAAUGUGAUAAAUUAUGCCUGGAAGGCGCUCUAUUUAUUUGGUUGUGAACUGUGGAAGUUUGUUCCAGCUUUAACGGUUAUUCAUGUGUGUCAUGGGAAAAUGUGGUAUUGUGGAUCCUUGAAAGGCUAUUAGUCCAGUGUGGUACGAUCAGAAUCGGCUUGAGGUCCGUGGAUGGACCUAAAUGUGAAUGUGAGCUCUAUAUCAGGUCGGACGUGUUCAUUUUAGCAUAGCGUUGAUUACAGAGAAGUCUUCGGGCCUUGGAUGUUAUUUCUGUCGUCAGCUAUUCCAUGUAAUACUUUAUUGUGCCAUGUGGGUUGUGAGACGGCUUGAUUAUUUGCACAUGUGUUGUGACCCCAUGUAGCUUACGAUGUUAUAUGAACAGUAUGACUCUUGAGAUGCAGGUCAUUUAUUUCACCUUAGUCGUGCUUGAGUUUUGUAGCGUAUGGCGCUAUCUGUCUCCCCAGGGAUUGUAUUAUGCACUUAGCGUGCUUGUGGUCGACAUUCGGGUAUUUUGCAGGUAUGAGCAUUCUAGCUCGGUAAGUAUUUCCUUAUAGAUUAUUAUGUGUGGAUCGGGUGGCAUGCUGCCACAGGUAUGUUGUUUGGAUCGGGUGGCACGCCGCCACGGGUACCAUGGUUGGAUCGGGUUGCACACCGCAGCGGUAUCAUAUGUGGAUCGGACUGCACGCCGCAAUAGUGUGAUGUUGAGUACAGUUCCCCAUAUCUAUUCUUGUGUGUUUUGUUUCUCAUUUAUGGGGAAGGUUCAUAGCAUCCUUUCGGUUGUUUAGUUAGUUACGUGGGUUGAGUAGUUCUUUUCAGAGUUCGUUUUCCUUAUGUAUCACAUUCGAGAUUGUAGUUUGUGGGCACAUUGUGGAAUCAUAUGAGAUUUUUGGUAGUAUCUGGGAUGGCUUAUUGCCUGAGAAGCUUAUACUGGGUGAGACGAGAUUACUGGACCUGGGAUCAGUGCGAUCAGAUUUAUAUGAAGCGUAUUAAAGAGCAAAUAUCGUUAUUUGGUUCAUAAUGAGGUAAUGGUUCUUGUCAAGAAGAAAAACUCAAUGAUUUGUUGACUCGGCAGCUGGUUAUGAAUUUCUACACCUCUCUUCCAUCGUGGCAGCAUUGCAAGAGUUGGAACAUGACUUAUAUGGGUCAUGGGGUAUGUUGUGGGCAUCAGAUUCGUGAAAUUUCGGCUAUUGUUAUCGGAGGAUAUUAAUAUGGUCAUGCGACUUAUGCGGUGCAUGGUGUGAAUUCAGCAAAGGUAUGCAAUCCUAUAUUAGUGCAUCGUGUAGUGAUUGAUACAGUGUUCGUAUGUUGGAGACAAGUCUGGUGGAGAAUUCCGGAUGUUGGAAUUUGGCUUUAAGGCUUAUUUGACUAAAUAAAAAGGGAGGAUAAUCAGACCGACUCAAGCUAAUAUGCUCAACUGGGUUGUGGUAGCAUGGGUAGGUGCACGAGGGUUAAACAGUGAUUUCGAAAAACUCCAGAGCAGUUCUGAGCACAUUCGAGGACGAACAUAUAUUUAAGUGGGAGAGAAUGUAACGACCCGGUCGGUCGUUUUGAGCUCUAGUGCGUUAUUCGGCAGUUUGAGGCCUUGAGUAGCUUCACUUCGGGUAUUAUGACUUGUACAUGUGGUCGGAAUUGAAAUUCGAGAAGUUCGGAGUUGAUUUGGAAGGAAAUUCUAAUUUCAGAAGCUUUAAGUUGGAGGAAUUUGCUAAGGGUUGAUUUUUGAGUAAACGAUCUCGGAAUCUGGAUUUGAAGGUUCCAACAGUUUCGUAUGAUGAUUUUGGACUUGGACGUUUGUCCGGAAUGAGUUUUGGAUGACCUGAGAGCGUUUUGGCGCCUAUUGUGGAAAGUUGGCAUUUGGAAAAUUUUCAUAAUUAUUGGGUUGAAGUGCAUUUCAAUGUUAUCAAUGUCCGUUUGGGAUUCCGAGUCUAGGAAUAGCUCCGUAUGAUGAUUCGGGCCUUAGGAGCGCAUCUGGAAGUGGAUUUGGAGGUCCGUAGGUCAUUUUGGGGUCAUUUGGAGAAAGUUGGAAAUUUGGAUGAUUUUGAGAAGUUUGACUGGAAAUGGACUUUUUGAUAUCGAGGUCGAAUUUCGAUUCCGGAAGUUGGAGUAAGUCCGUAAUGUCAAAUGUGACUUGUGUGCAAAAUUUGAGGUCAAUCGGACGUGAUUUGAUAGGUUUCGGCAUCGAUUGUAAAAGUUUGAAAUUUCAAAGUUGAUUAAGCUUGAAUUGGAGGGUGAUUCGUAGUUUCGAUGUUGUUUGAUGUGAUUUGAGGCCUCGGGCAAGUUUGUAUCAUGUUUUGGGACAUUUUGGUAUAUUUGGUUGAGGUCCCGAGGGCCUCGGGUGGAUUUCGGAUAGUUAACGGAUCAACUUUUGGACUAAAGGAAUGAUGAGGCAGCUGGUAUCUGGUGUAACCGCACCUGCGAAGUUCUGGCCGCAGGUGCGGAGCCACAAAAGAGAAAUUUGGUUGAGGAAGGCUGGGACCGCAGGUGCGAUCAAGUUUCCGCAAAAGCAGAACCGAACCUGCUCACGACAAGCCGCAGAAGCGUUGGCGCAUAUGCGCAUUAGGCCCGUCGAAUCGCUUCUCGCAGGAGCAAGACUUAGAGCCGUAGGAGCGGCUGUCACAGAAGCGAAAUUCGAACUGGGCAGUGAGGUUUCUUUAAAAACGGGAUUUGGACCAUUUUUCUCCUAUUUUUCACUUUGUUGGGCGAUAUUUGGAGAGCUUCAAGGGGAGAUUUUUAUCAUCUAUGUCAAGGUAAGUGAUUCCCGCCUAUUGCAAAUUAAAAUACUUGAUUUAUAUAAGGAUUUAAACAUGAAAAUUAGUAGGAAUUGGAAUUUUGAAGUAAAACCUAGAAAAUUUGUAUUCUUGGAUUUUGACCACGAAUUUGGGCAUGGAAUUGGAAAUAAAUCAUGUAUUUGAGUUCGUAGUGUUAUGGAUAAUGAUUAUCUUCGAAAAAAUUUCGGAACUCGGGCACGUGGGCCCGAGGGUUGCUUUAUCGAUUCUUCGAGCGGAGUUGGAAAUUGUUAUAAAUUGAUUUAUAAUUAGCAUUUGAGUAUGUAUUUAUGGAUUUGCACAUUAAUUGACUAGUUUUGGAGCGUCAGGCAUCGGUUUGAGUUGUUAGAAAGGCUUGGGAACCGAUUAUGAAAUUUCGGAGCAAGGUAAGUCUCCUUUCUAACCUUGCAAGAGGGAAUUAACCCAUAGGUGAAUUGAUUUAAUAUGUGUUUCUAUUUGUGGGUGCUACGUACGCACGAUGUGACGAGAGUCCGUGCGUAGCUACUAUUAUGCCUAUGUCCGGGUAGUUUUAGGUUUACACCUUGCCUUGUUGAUAGCGUUAUUUGAUUACGUUUAUUAUUUGUCUUGAAAAGAGUUGAGAUUUGAGUAUGCUUAUUAAUUGCCUUGAAAAGAGUUGAAAUUGAGGAUUUCGAAAUUUUAAAGUUUUCAUUUGAUUUUCGUAUUUUGAAAUGAAUUGAGGAAUAUUAUAAUAACUUGGGAAAUCUAUGUUCAACCGCGUCGGAACUAUAUUUCGCGAGCGGGGUAAACUUCCACUACUCUCAUGGGAGCGGUUCGUUCGUCUCGGCAGGUUAAUAGAUGCAUCUAUGGUUCGCACCGUUCGACCUUCGGCAAUGCACAAUUUAAAUAUUUAUAUUGGAUUGGGCCGUACGACUUCAUGUGACCUCGACAUGACUUGCGCAUGAUAACUCUCUGCAACUAAUAAUAUUUGAUAUUUCUUCAUCGGCUUGAGAUAUAAAUUGUUAAAUGAUGAGAAUAAAAUUCUGAAAUUUCUAUUUGUAAGAGGAUUGUUUAUUUUUUCUGGUUAUUGAGUUUUCAGUUAUAUUAUGAAAAAUCCAUGCUCAAUUAUAACAUCUGUAUUUUAUUGUUAGCCCAUAGUAAGUGUCAGAUUCGACCUCUCGUCACUACUUCUUCGAGGUUAGACUGGAUACUUACUAGGUACGCGUUGAUUUACGUACUCAUACUAUACUUGCUGUAUAUUUUUGUGCAGGUACAUAUAUGUCUAGUGGCCUUGUGAGCACUGAGGCGCGGUUAUAGCGGGGACUUAGGUGAGCUGCAUCCCUUGUUACGAUUCGCAGUCAUCGGAGUCUCCUUCAGAGUUAAUUAUAUUUUCUCCUAUCUAAUUUGUAUUCUGGACAGAUACUAUAUUUUAUUUUACUUCCUAGUUGAUGCUCAUGCACUUGUGACACCGGAUUUUGGGGGUACUUAUGGGUUGUUCAGUAUUGUAAUUGUAAAAAUAUUUUUAUUUAUUUUGUAAAUUGCG